CCUAUGGGAGGCAGCAGUGGGGGAUAUUGCACAAUGGGGGAAACCCUGAUGCAGCGACGCCGCGUGGGUGAAGAAGCGCCUCGGCGCGUAAAGCCCUGUCAGCAGGGAAGAAAAUGACGCUACCUGAAGAAGAAGCCCCGGCUAACUACGUGCCAGCAGCCGCGGUAAUACGGAGGGGGCAAGCGUUAUCCGGAUUUACUGGGUGUAAAGGGGGCGCAGACGGCGAUGCAAGCCAGGAGUGAAAGCCCGGGGCCCAACCACGGGACUGCUGUUGAAACUGGAUGGCUAGAGUGCGGGAGGGGCAGGCGGAAUGCCUGGUGUAGCGGUGAAAUGCAUAGAUAUCAGGAGGAACACCGGUUGCGAAGGCGGCCUGCUGGGCUGCAACUGACGUUGAGGCCCGAAAGCGUGGGGAGCAAACAGGAUUAGAUACCCCGGUAGUC
rnacentral:rRNA from 1 species